UUAUUUUGCCACAUGGGAGCAGCGGAAACAAGUUGUGAACAUUCAUUUACAAACAAGCGGGUAGCUCCUGGCCUCCCGUCCCCUCCAGAAGGAGCAUCUUCAGGUUACUGCAUGUGAAGGUCAUUGGCUCAGAUCCCAAAGUGCCCCGGCUUCCUCUUCUCAGUCUCCCCUCAGUGCAGCGAUCUGUCUGGAGCCUCCGCCGA